GAAUCCAAAAGAAAUGAGAGAUGCUGGUGUCUUGUUGCAGAUUACACAGCUGAAAGAUUACUGACACCUUGGAUCACAGAGGCAAUGAAAGCGUGUCCCCAAAGCAAUAUUCAGAGACUGUCAACUGGACACUCUUAUUGUCAGUCUCACUGCUGUUCGUUGGGUGAUCUUUCUUGAAAAUACUUCUUUGGUGAUUCAGUGUUUGUUUCCAUGGUACCAAAUAACAAACAAAUCUGUCUGAGCUUUAUUGCCUGCUGAAGCUUAGCCUCCCAAAAAGUUCUCUGCUGUUCAUCCCCAUUGACUGUGUUCACACUGAAAACGCACGCUAAUUUAAUAAAUUCCCUAUGUCUCAAUCUGAUUUCUUUUUCAACAGGCAACCUGAAUGAAGAACUUCAUUUCAGAGAAGCUGACGUAAUAUGUUGCACCUUCUGAAAUAUUAAGUAUAAUAACUCCAAGGAUAGGAGGAACCUCAGCACUCCAUGGUGAUGGAUGGUUGUCCUUGGACACUCUGGAUGAGCUCUUCCUCUUACUGAGGGAAAGAAGAAGAAGAGAAAAAAAGAUAUCUGUGAAAACUCAGCUUCUUAUAAUUAAGCUUACGUUUAACUGCAGUGUGACUCAGGAUGUGUCUAUAGCAGAAUUUCACGGUAGGUGUGUUGAAAUCUUGGUUGUGUAAAUGCUGAGUUCUGUCUAGAAGACUGGUAUGUAUUUUGAGAAAGCAUGCUGUAGUGCUCUCAGAUGCUAAAUAGAUGGAGGGGAUUGCAUUCAUGCCUGAUAUGCAGGGACAGCAAGGCCUCACAUACAUUUUUGGUUGUUUAAUCUUAAACAAAUUCCCACUUCUUUGAAAGAAGGCUUCACUGUAUCCCCCACCAACACGUGCUCAACAGAAGAAGCAGUGCAGAAUUUCAUGACACUUCUAAUGAGGCUCAGACUGGCCAUAGCAGCCUUGAUGUAAGCUGAAAUAGCUCUAAGUUAUAACAGCAGGCUGUACGCCUGUACCAAGAAAUCCUUCAAGACAUCAGGAUUUCACUUCAUCCUUCCCAGACAUUUUACUUCAGGGGAAAAAACAUUGGAAGCUGUUGAUGUUGAGCUCAGUGUUUGAACUUAGUUCCCUUCUAUUCAGGGAAAUCUCAGCUAUUUUUGCACACCUUGGUAAAUGCUUCUAGGGAACAGAAUAAAGGAUGAGAACGUUGCCUAUUUUCUCUGCUGAGCACUGGCAAGACACAGUUUUAGGGCAGGUUAGAAAAUAGUUUCACACGUUUGCAGAAUGCAUUAAAAAACAUUCUAGGUCAGCUGAAUAUUACAAACUAUUUAAUGUUCAACAGUAAUACAUUCAGACAAUCAGAGUCACAGCUUAAGCCUUUCCCCUUCGUGACAAUUUCAUCCACCACAAUUCUGCUCCUGAGGUAGAUUUGAGUCUAUACAUGCUGGCUACUGGAACUUUCUCCUACCUAGUCAACCUGCUGACGGGGUUUCAUACUCCUGGAAUUAUCCUGGGAGGUAUUUUUAAGGUCUCCUGUAUAAUAUGAUGCAUUUCUAAAGCUAACCUUGACAACAGAAGGGGAGGUAUAUCCACAAACUUGCGUGAUACUUCACACAGCUAAUUUCUAGCAUCAGUAGAGGCCAAGAUGCUUAUUAAAGACUCAUGUGACUUGAGCUAUAUUUUUACUAAAUCCUUUGAUUUUCGCUUGGCAAGAAAAAAUAGUUAUUUCCUAAACAGCUGUAAAGAAAUCAAAACCAGAAAGCAACAAGGAUUUGUAGCUAUUGAAAGCCAUGGAAAACCUCCAGCUUUGGCACUGAAAGUCCCCAUUUCUUUGUUUCAGUGACACAAAUUAACCAUUGUUUGACAUGCCCAGGAAAGCAGUGACACUGAAGAAGCGAGUGAAGAGCAUCCAGGCACACAGUCCUCCCACAGCGUGGCUGUGUUCUGCUGCGUGACCUUGAUUCACCUUGUGUAACUUCAGUUAUCCACAUGUUUAAUCAUCCAAUUCUAACCAAUGGAUAGAUCCUAACCACUGACUUGUCCCUAGAAACAAAGGAGCCUUGAGGAGGCACCAUGUCCAGGAUCCUAUCUGAUGGACUCUCUAGUGUAAGGCUUGGAGCCCUCAUUAGCUUUUCAGACUCUCAGGCUCUGGCCAGAAGGGAUUUUGAGGCUUUGGCAUAGCCAGUCUGGAGUAAGUUGUCACCUGAAAAGAAGGAUGAGCAACUGUGACCUUGGAGGUGAGAGAUGUGCACAUUUACUGCUCUCAUUGACCAGACCUCAGACCUGCAUGUUCCCUGGGGACAUGCCAGAACCUGGGAGCCCAAGUGCAGACAACACUGUCUGGCACAUCUCAAAGCAAAUGCUUCUUGGCUAGCACUGGAACAUCACUGAGAUUGAAAUGCAUCCACUGUACAUUUUGAUUUCAGCAAACCAGCAUUCCAACAAAACAUGCUUAGCCAGCUCCACUCUGUAAAUCUACAUGAUUAUGUGGGGGAAAAAAAUGUUUCACUUUUUCAUCUGUUCGCCUACAUGUUUGAUGGCCUGCAGAGAGGACAGCCACUCUGGCUGCCACCUGGAGGCUCUACUGAAAGAGCAGCCGUUCCAGAAUAAACAUAUCUCAGAAACUAGAGCUGUUGGGGAACAUUUGCCACUUCCACAGUACACAUCUUGAUCUGAUCACCACAGAAGGCAAGUAAACAUGCUGCACUGCUUUUGAUACAGUUUUAUCAGCUAACAGCUAUGACCCAAACCACAAUCAUGGAAAACUAAUAAUAACAAUAUACAUAUAUGCAUAUAUAUGUAUAUAUUAUUUCCUCUGACUUCUGCAACUUGGGUAAUUAGAAGCAUUUUCCUCAAUGAGUAAAAUUCUCACUAUCAAACCUGAAACACAACUGACACAUUACCAAUGGCUGUCUUUAAUGUGAACAUUCUUAUAACUCCCUGCUUUGCAGCCCUUAAUCUCAUUUCUAAGUGAGAAAUAUCUGAAUACUAUAUACCCAAAAUAUCUGCAACUAUACCUGUUGUAACAGAUGCCUGAGAGAUGUCUGUUGUGGACGCACUUGUACAUGCAUACACAUGUGGCUGCACCCUCCACCUCAAAGCAAAUUUUGUUCUACAGCUUGCGACACCCAGAUGCAUUCAGAUUUCCUUACAGUCUGAGAGAUGAGAUGUCAUUAAGCCUUGGCAGCAGAUCUUCUGGUGUGUAUGGUGUGCCUUUACAUCUGGCAUCUGAAUCACACAGCACAGUUUGCAGGAAUGGGAAGAAGCCUGCACUAGGAAGGUUUCGGGGUGCAAGAUAACCUGGAGGAAGGCGUAGAAAGAAAGAAAAUACCAUUAUUAUGAUGCAGACAUGCUUUAUUUUUUUUCCGUAUGUUUCUUUCAGAUUGCCCUACUUUCCCUCUCCAAACCACUGGCUUGAUUCUCAGUUUCACAAAGGUUGUUUUAUUCCGUCCUGGUAGCAAUCUCUGCCAAAUUCCACUAGAAGCCCUUUCUCAACACCAAGAGAGCCAUGAAAGGCUAUUUAAUGAGAAAAGGAGCCAAUCUGUUUGUUAAUAAGCAGAUACCUGUCCCUGUCAAUCCCAAAGCAACUGCAGCCUUUGUAGUUUAAAUAAAAAUAGGCAUAUGGCAAUUGAAACUCGAAGAAUCUAUAAGAGCAUGUUCUCCAAGACUUGUUUGGAUCAUUUUCUGUGCAAAGCCACAAGCUUCAGCUUCAAGCCAGGGUAAUAAAAGAGAACAGUGUUUAAGUUUUUACUGUAGAAAGGAGCAAUAGAUUCAAGACCAGACAAACCUCCUUUGCUAUUUGUGCAGACCUGCCCAAGGAAGGGAGAGGAGCAAUCUAUCACCACUCCCCCAUAGGCCUCCUGCUAUUGCAGAGCAGCUCCAGUGCCAUCUGCCUGGUGACCGGUGAUGUUGGCAGCCAGUGCCCAGGGAUAAGAUGCAUGUCCCUGUCUCCCAUUUCCAAAAAUACCGAGAGGACCUGAGCAAUUAGAGACUUUGGUGUUUCGUGUGCCGUUGCCCCAUGCUGCUUACUGCCAGCCCGCAGAGUUCACCAAAUGCUUCUCCUCUCAGUGACAAAUGCUCUAAUAAAUCUCAAAACUCUUUCGCUAGAUCACAGCAACAUAUUAUUUAAAAUAAUCGUAUGGAAAAUUACCUGGCAAAGGACGUGGCUAUUAUUUCUUCUAUGGAACAGAGCCAGAUUUACAGAAGGCCUGAAGGCAAGUUUGUGGUAAUUGAUUACCCUGCUGUUCAGCCUCCGAAGAUGACCUGUGACUCUUGCCCAGGAGCAGCUUUAUCUCUAACACCUCCAACAAGUGCAUCCUACAUUUGAAGUACACUUAUUUCUUCUAGCAGUGGUCAAAAAUCAGAUACUCUCAAAGGGAUUGACAGUAUUAGAUGGAGUAUCUGGCUGCCAAUUUCCCUGAACAGGAGCCAUUUCUCAACUUCACUCAGCAAAGCUGGUCACAACCCAUGGCUGUGCAAUGUGGUGCUGGUCAUCAGAAAUGAGAGGGGUUGUUUAGGCAACAGAAUUCUGGGUGAAACUGAAAAUAUUCAUAGUUAAGUAUGGGAGUUCACGCUGCUUUAUUUCAUGUAGCAAUAGGCAUAUGACUGCUGAGACCUGCAGUGUCAAGCACCCGUUUUGGACAUUGUUAUGAUUCCCUUGUACCUCAGCAGAGAAACACCCAUGGAAACUAAAGAAGGUGCCCCACCAUAGGAGAAAGGCACAGCUCUACCUGCCCCCCAAUGCUCACUGCAUCUUCCAGGCCAUCAGGAUUUACAAUGCAGGCUGAGCCAGCUCCCAGUAAUUGCAGAGCACCAAGCAGAAUGAAAGGCCUCAUUUUUCUCUGCAGGCAGUCCUGGGGUUGAGGCCAAAGGACCAAGCAUAUUCUAUUCUAAAGGUUUUGAAGUGUAAAUAAGUCUGCUGCCCACAAGGCAAACUGCACAGUAGGGCACUCUCACCUGAAAGCAUCCAUUUGUGAAUAUCCACAACUGCAUCUGGGAUGUUUGCCCUUUGAGAUCACCAAUUACAGCCCUGCAAAAUGGCCUUCUGCACACCCUGACGCUUUUCUUGUCUUCUUUCUGAUCUCCCGCACUCUCAUUCACCUUGACAAAAAUCAACAAACCCAAACAGGCACAACACAGACCUCACUUUAUCAGCAUCUCCAUCAAAAUACCAGUCCAAAGAACUGGAAAGCCAUGAGAUUCGGGACAGACAGCACAACUGCACAAAAGCAGACAAGUAGGAGGGAAAGGUCUAUACCUUCUACUGCCAUCUGCAUCUACCAGUGUACCAGCAAUUAAGGGCAAAAGCCUCGUAACUCUUAAGUGUGACAGCAGAGUGGGAAACACUUCUCGUCUCAUAGGAGAGGUGCUCCAGCCCUUUUAUAUCAUCUUACUGGUCUCCUCUGGACCCACUACAAGAGCUCAACAUCCUUCCUGUACUGUAGAGAGAUGCAAGAUAUUUAAGGAGAAAAUCACACAAGGGAUCCUCCUGCAACCAAAACAGAAGAUCCUCUUGGGAGAUGUAAGUAGCAAUGCCAUAUUUUAGAAUCAGAAACAUUAUGGUUUGAACUAAGUGGAAAAAGAGACAAUCAGUUGCUGUAUCAUAAGCAAGGUGAUCCAUCAGUGAUGAACUGAUGCAACCCCAUGUUGCUCGUGGCACAAAAGCAGGGGAAGUGCCAGAAGAGGCUUCUCUGGAAGAAGCUGAACUCUAAGAGCAGUUUGAGAAUCAAGGAAGUUUUUCAUGAAAGGCCACGGACAGAAAAAUCUGAAACGCCCGGGCCAAAUUCCCUGUAAGUUCCUCUCAUCCUGCAAAGGAAGAAAUAUACUGAUGAGAAGGAGAGACAAGAGAUGAAUGCAAUUCCUAUCCCAUCCUCCUCCCUUCCUCCAUUCACUCUCUUGUGGCAUGGAGCUGUGACUCCACAGAGCCACACGAGCUGCUCUACCCACACGUACGCAUCCAUUGGCUGUGUCACACACCCCUGCAAGGAUAACCAGGGAGGAAGCUGGCUCCUUCUGGGAGAUGUUUAUAACCAUCUGUCCCUCCCUGGGCUGGGAUUUAUCCUGUACUUCAAACGCAACAUAAGCACUAGAUACAGAACUUUAUUGAAGGAGUUUUGUAAACGCCCUGCGAAUUUUGAAGGACACAAUGGCAAUAGUUUUGCAAUCUGAAACGCAAUGCUUACUAUCACCAUUCAUGACCUCUGUAAUAUUUCCCCUGUAGGGAAUGCCUUCAGAGAGCAUCUCCACCUACCAAUGAAGUCUUCUACAAUGCCAUAGCCAAGGAAAAAGGAUUUCCUAUGCACAGCAGCCCCCAUCUUUAUGACCCCUUGAUGGAGUAGAUCCACAACACCUGACAUAAUUUAUCACUGUCACCGCCUUUAGCUUUCACUGUUAUCUUUUCCAAAAAAUCCAGUUACCUUUGGAGGAUCUUGCUACACUGCCUAUGAGCCCAGAGGGAGAGAUCACUGCAUCACUGCUUCCCCUUCUUAGCUCUGCUGGGACAUCACCUCCACGGAUUUUCUUGUCAAAUUUAUUUGCCUGCACCUGAAACUCGAGCCCAGAUCUGUAUCUUAUUAGUAAAGACUGACUGCUGUGUUUGCUAGCAAUGGAAGCCCAACAUAGAGGUAUUUUGCUGUUCUCCCUCACUGUGGAGUGCUUUGAUUUUCUGUCAGGGUUGAAAGAAUGGCACUGAAUCUGAAGCAAACAAGGCAGGCAUCCCAAAGGGCAGAAGAAGCCCAGGGCUGAGCACUGAAUGGGCUGGCAGGUUCUCCCUGCUCAUUAGCAUCUAGCCAGUCUGGCCACAUCCUCAAGAGCUGAAAAGAAACAAGGCUUUCACUCUAUUGCAAAUUCUGGCAUUUCCACAUUUGCUGCUUUCCCUUGGAAUAAAACUGAGAAAGUUGA